CUUCAGCUCUGUGAUUUCAAAGUUCGAUUUGGAACUCUUCAUCUCUUCAAUCAGAGAUCGAUCGCAGAAAAACACUACACUUUCGUUGCAGAGUUGAGUCGGAAAAAUGAAAUACCUGCUUCAAGGUCAGGUGCUCAUUCACUUCCUAAAUCCAAUAAGAAUAAUGUGCUCAGUACAAGCCACUCAAAGCAUAAUUAGAUUGGUCAAACAGGUAUACGUCAAUUUUUGCUGGUCAUACUAGACCGUUUGUUGAAUCAAAUUUGUUGCCCACAUCAGAAAAAAAUGGAUUUGUUCAAAGAAUAAUUAGAUUGGCUAACCAGGUUAUUAUUGUAACAGUAUUAAUUUUUAAAGGCAUUGAAUCUGUAAUAAUUUGUUUAAUGUUUAUCUGCAAUAAAUGAAAUUGAUGUGUCUCUCUGUGAUCUGUAACUUAUUUUUUCUGUAGAUAUAUAUUGUUCAAAAGAGUGCAAGAAUACAAGACCCCUUUAAAAAUACUAAAAGUUCUUCAAAUAAAGCAAAGGCUGGUUGUGAUUCCUCAUCUUUGUCUGCAAAAUCACCACUUCAGCAUCCUCGAAGGAAUAUGCCAUCAAUGAAGGUGUUUAAUGACAUGCUUCAUGAGUUGGACAUUGAGAGAAAUAACCCAGAUGGCGCAGACCAGGGUUUUAUUGGAAGUUACUUUCCAGACUUGCUUGACCAGCCAAUGUUCCACCCACCACUUAACGGGUACCAAGCUUGUUGGAACAUACAGACUUCCUUUGGGAUAUCAAAUGGAUGCCUCCUACUAUUAUUUGGGUUCUUACAGGGGACAAGAUGGAAAUAGCCAUUAAUAUAGCUUAUGCAUGCAAGUUGAUUGAUAAUGACAUGAAACAGUUUAUUAUCAGUUCAGAAACUGAUGAAAUUAGAGAAGUAGAAAGCAGAGGUGACCAAGUGGAGAUCGCACGCUUUAUGAGAGAUGCAGUGAAAAGUCAGCUAAAAAAUAUAUUUGUUUAGCAAAGUAGCAUAUUGAAAUCAAGGUUGGGAAUUUAAUUGGGUGGCAGGUUAUACUCUUAGAAGCCCAACUGCUAUAAUUUAUUUAUUUAUUUUUCAGUUGAUGAUUAUUAUUUUUUCUUUCAAAACCAAUUACUGCUCCGUUUGAUAACAUUUUCUGGAAGGACUUCUUGUAUUGAUCACAAAGUUUUGAAAAUUUUAAGAGGGUGUUAGUCAUAAACAAUUUUGCGAUCACUUCCAGUUCUAACAGUGUUGAUUCGAAUGGCAAGAUGUUUGGCCUUUGGGAUGUCAGCACAACGGUCUUCAAUUGUCUUGUAAUAACUAUUAAUUUGCGGCUUCUUCUGAUGUGCAACACGAUUAAAUACUCCUAAUGUGAGUCAUCUUCUUGUUUUAACCACUUACUGAAUUAAA